CGCGUAUGCAACCUACCUUGUACUGAGGGAUAGCCCGAAGAAUUCGGAUUAAUACCUCAUAGUAUUUAGCGAUCACAUGAUCAUUAAAUUAAAGAUUACGGUACAAGAUGGGCAUGCGUCCUAUUAGCUAGUUGGUGAGGUAAUGGCUCACCAAGGCGACGAUCUCUAGCUGGUCUGAGAGGAUGAUCAGCCACACUGGAACUGAGACACGGGUCCAGACUCCUACGGGAGGCAGCAGUGGGGAAUAUUGCACAAUGGGCGCAAGCCUGAUGCAGCCAUGCCGCGUGUGUGAAGAAGGCU
rnacentral:rRNA from 1 species